rnacentral:rRNA from 1 species
UGGGGAAUUUUCCGCAAUGGGCGCAAGCCUGAUCCAGCAAUACCGCGUGUGUGAAGAAGGCCCUCGGGUUGUAAAGCACUUUCAGUAGAGAGGAAAAGCCUGGAGUUAAUACCUCCGGGUCUUGACGUAACCUACAGAAGAAGCACCGGCUAACUCCGUGCCAGCAGCCGCGGUAAUACGGAGGGUGCGAGCGUUAAUCGGAAUUACUGGGCGUAAAGCGCGCGUAGGCGGUUAUGUAAGUCGGAUGUGAAAGCCCCGGGCUUAACCUGGGAACUGCAUUCGAAACUGCAUGACUGGAGUAUGGGAGAGGGAAGUGGAAUUUCCGGUGUAGCGGUGAAAUGCGUAGAUAUCGGAAGGAACACCAGUGGCGAAGGCGACUUCCUGGCCCAAUACUGACGCUGAGGUGCGAAAGCGUGGGGAGCAAACAGGAUUAGAUACCCCUGUAGUCC